rnacentral:pre_miRNA from 1 species
AAAAAGUUCAGUUUUUAGUUUUUAUAUAAUGUUUGGCUCUUCGUUUUAUUUGAAAAAGUUUUACGAUUAAUAUUUUUAUUGUUGUUAAAUUAUAAAACAUGAAUAGUAUUUUAUAUGUGACUAAUUUUUUUUUCUUUUCUAUAUCUUUUUUAAAUAAGACGGACAAUCAAAGGUUAGACACAGAAAUCCAAAAAUAAACUUGUU